UACGUAGGGUGCAAGCGUUAAUCGGAAUUACUGGGCGUAAAGCGUGCGCAGGCGGUUUUGUAAGACUGUCGUGAAAUCCCCGGGCUCAACCUGGGAAUGGCGAUGGUGACUGCAAGGCUAGAGUUUGGCAGAGGGGGGUAGAAUUCCACGUGUAGCAGUGAAAUGCGUAGAUAUGUGGAGGAACACCGAUGGCGAAGGCAGCCCCCUGGGUCAGCACUGACGCUCAUGCACGAAAGCGUGGGGAGCAAACAGG
rnacentral:rRNA from 1 species